rnacentral:lncRNA from 1 species
CACAGUGAAGGGUCUGAGUCCAGCUGUUGGUGGAAGGGGCAGCAGUCAGGGAAGGCUUUCCAGAGGGAAUGUCACAACAGCUAGGUCUAGAGUUAUGAUUUAGCCAUUUGGAGAAGAGGAGAAAGGAAUUAUCUGGCACACAGCACAAAAUAUGCAAAGUCAAGAAAUGUCAGGGGGCUCAGUGUCAGUUUGAAAAAUCUGGCGCAAAGAGUUCAUAUGGAAGAAUGGUGGGAGACGAUGUUGGAAUGCGAGGUGAUCUGAUAUUCCCCUCUGGCUCUGGUAUUAGAGCUAUAAGAAAGACAUGCUCCCACAUCCCACUGCAAUCUCUAUAGGACUCACUUCAUUAACUGAUGAAGCCAGUGGCGUGAAUGUAAUCGCCCAGAGCACAUGUGUUAGGUAAAAUGGUCCAAGGACAGAGCUUUGUGAACACCAACACUGAAGAAAGGAACAGUGGUUUAGGCACCCACAGAAGAUGCAAGAAGCAAGAGGCACAGAGCAGAAGGAAAACCAGGAGGAGCUACAAAGGAAAAUACCUCAUGAAGAAAGGACUGAUCCAGUAUUAAAUAUGAAAGGAAAGUCAAAUACAAUAAAAACUAAAAAGAAUAUUCUAAAUUCAACAAUGGGGAAGAAAUGAGUAUCUUUGGUUUACCAGUUGAGAUAAAUAGAUUAUGUUGCGUUAACAAAUGACCCCACAUACUAACAGCUCGUGAUAUCAUAGAGGCUUAUUUCUUGCUCUCAUUGUGUGUCCACUAUGAAUUAUUGGCUACUGAUCUGUUCAGGUCCUUCUCACUCUAAGAUCCAGGCAGAAAGGAUAGCCUCCAUCUAGAAGGAAAAGAUCAAAGGAGGAAUCAUGCAAUGAAUCUUAGAGCUUCUGCUUGGAAAUGUGGCAAACAUGAUUUUACUCACAUUUUAUUGACCGAGGCAAGUCAUAUAGCCAAGCCUGAUGUCAAAUGAACAAGGAUAAUCAGAAAGUUGUCUGGUAGAGAGGAGGUGAUAAAAAGAAGUUCCACGGGGAGUGACAGAAAACAUUUGUGCACAAUAACACAGUCUCCCACACUGGGCAAAAGACAUGGUGUAUAUAAAAAAUUACUAUGGAAGAAGUAAUUCAUUAUGGCUUUAUCCCUAAUUUACCCAAUGCAGAGCUAUUAUUAUCAUUAUUAACCUUCUGUGUCUCCAUCAUGUCAUCCCCAUAUUCAAGAGCCAUUGUUCCCUCUAUUUUGUUCAACUCAGACCUGAUCCUUGUUUGCAUUCAGCUCCUACCAUCCCUUUUCUCACCUACUAAGUUACUCUUACCACUCUCUAUCUCAAGGGACUUUCUUUUUUCCCCCAAUCCCUGUCUCUCAGCUCCUUAUGAGCCCACCUCAAAGCCACUCUGCAGAAAGCCAUCUUAGAUUAAAGCAACUCAGCCCUAACAAACUCCUCUGUUGUACAGUACGUCCUGUAUUAUUUGGUCCCAACACAAUGUGCUAUGUAAAUGCCUGGUGGUGGUUUCAAAUGUGAAUGUGUGUAUAAAACGUUUUGGGAAGACUGAGAUUGAGGUGCAGGAGGGGGUGAGGUGGGAGAAUAUGGGUUCUGGGCUAGUUACCCUCUGGGUUUCUCUCUAAAUCUGUUCUCCAUCAUUCCCUGCCUUGUUCUGUGCCCCAGGAGGCUGACUUCCAUAGAUGGUAAAACCAGAUUUCCUUACCUUCUGGCUGCCAGUGGGUUCAGCCAAUGGGAGGCACCAGUAUGAAGACUGGAAGAUCAGAGAGGAACCAGGGUAUUUAUGCUCUCCCACACCCAACCCCCGCCCUGCUCUGACCCUGGCAGUGGCCAGAUGCUGUGGAUUGAGCUUCUGUCAGGCAACCUCUCUUCCACUAUUCAAGCUCCAGUGGCGCUAUUCCUGUCUCUUGUUUCUUCAAGCUAGGUCAUGGUCUUUUAUAUUGCAAAUUCCAUAACUGGAACCUGAGAGAAGGAGGGCCAACCCCUUCCACUCCUACCCACAACAUUCAUACACUUUAAGGCAUUUUGUUGGUCACCUUUCACCUAUACUUCCCUCUGGAUCCUUAUAUCCUCCUCUUUAAGUUCAAGUCGUCUAGCUGUAUUGAGAGGCUAGCAUGAAGCCUCUCUGAUGGCUAAACAAGACCCCUGCCUCCCAAAGGACAGAUGCCUGACUGGAGUGAUGGCUCAUGUGGUCUAGAGAAUUCAUGUUUCUAAAAAGCCAUUGGCCUGAAUCUAACUAUAUAAACAUGCAUUCAUAAAAUCAUGAUGCAGAAGACUUAGUAAUCCCAGUAAAGUUAUCUAGCCUUAUUAAAGUGGAAAACAACAUAGUGACCAUCCCUAGAUGACCAUGCUAAAGCUUUAAAAAUCAAAUUGAACAAAGUAUAUAAAAGUCCCAAAGAAAUGAUAGGUUUAGAAGUCCUCAAAGGUCACCUUAAUUUCCUCAUGCUCCAGUAAUUCCACUUUGGAAAAAAGUAGGGUAUAAAUUAAUCAACAUGUGGUCAUGGAAGUUAUCUAAGGCCUUGCCACUCGAAGUGGCCUACAAACCAGCAACAUCAGCAUACCCAGGAGCUUGUCAGAAAUGCAGACUCUGAGGUGCUCCCAGACCUGCUGGUCACAGUCUGCAUAUUAAUCUAACAGGAUUACCAGGUGAUUCCUUUGCCCAUUGACACUGGAGAAGCACUGGUCUAAAAGAGUUCUCAAACUAUCCGGGAUGAAGAAGCAGUUGUUGUUGUUUUUUUUGUUUUGUUUUGUUUGUUUUUUUGGUUGCCCCUCCCCCAGUCUGUUGUGCACUGAUACCUUAGAAAAUAUAAUAAAAAUGAAUUACUAGAAUAAUGAAAAAAGAGAUCUACAAAAUACAAAGUCAGACUUUUUAUUAGUAGAUUCAGACAACACAUAAUUAUGCUAUCAAAUUGCUGUAGAAAUCUUUUAAUGCAUGCAGUCUAUUUCUCUAGAUUCCUUGUCAUUGACAAAUAUCAGGUCACAGAUGGACAGCAGACUAUGGAUCACACUGAGUAGUGCUGCUCUAAGUUAUUGUCAUUUUGCAGGCAAUCAACAGAGGAAACCGAAGCCUAGACAAAUAAUAUACCUGAGGUGACAAAGCUGGUUCACAGGAGAGCCAGAAUUGAGACUUAUAUCUCCCAAAUUGUUUCCAACAGACCAUAUUAAUCCUUUUGUUUUCUUUUUUUUUUUUUUUUUUUUUUUUUAGUAUUUAUUGAUCAUUCUUGGGUGUUUCUCACAGAGGGGGAUUUGGCAGGGUCACAGGACAAUCGUGGAGGGAAGGUCAGCAGAUAAACAAGUGAACAAAGGACAGACCAUAUUAAUCCUAAGAAACUUUUAAACUUUUAUUGAACACUUGAUUUGAGCCAGGUACAGUGUUUUACAGGGAUUGUCUUGUAGUCACCCCCAUUCCUGUGAAGUUGAUGCUGUCAAUGCCCUCAUUUUACAGUUGAGAAACCUGAGGUUUAGAGAGGUUAAUAUCUUUCACAAGUUUCCAUGACUGAGUGGUGAAGAUGAAAUUGGAACCCAAGUUUAACCACAAUUAAAGAAAAUGUGCUUGUAUUAGGGGUCUCCAGAGAAACAGAACCAAUAGGAUAUAUAUUUAUCUGUCUAUCUAUCUAUCUAUCUAUCUGAGAGUUUGUUUAUUUAUUUAUUUAUUUAUUUUGAAACAGAAUCUUGUUCUGUGGCCCAGGUUGGAAUGCAGUGGCAUGAUCUCAGCUCACUGCAAUCUCUGCCUCCUGGGUUCAAGU